UUUGGUCCAGAUUGAUAUCUGAACAGUAAAAGUGUCUGGUUAUUAUUGAACGGGUUGCUUUGUGUGCUGGAAAAUGUGAGUCAGACCCCGGAGGGGAAAUUCAGCCCCACUGAGAAGUCAAGCAUGGUGUCAAGCCAAUGAGAAAAGGAUCCCUAGGUUUGAAGGAAUCUGCAUUUUAACAAGACUCUAGUUGCUUCGUACAGACAUUAGACUCAUUCCUCCUCCUCACUUUCUGUUGGACCAUUCUCUCAGCAAUCUGUAAACUGUAAUCUGCUCCAUUAAAAAAACCAAAACAUCGAUCCACAUCCCUCUCCACUGCUUCAUUUGCAAGCUCCAGGUUCUGCCUUCCCAUUCUCUCUCAAACCUGCUCUGAUCUUUGUCCAGCUCCUCACCGACCCCUUCACGGAGGCCCCCAGUGCACCUGCGCAGUGAGGUCAGCUUCGCAGGGGCCCCCAGUGCACCCGCACAGUGAGGUCAGCGUUGGCUCUUGGCCUCUCUUCCCUGCGACUCUGCCCGGGCACCAGCCAGUCCUCAUUCCCUCCCUACUGCUUUUUUUUUUUUUUUUUGAAACAGGGUUUUGCUCUGUCACCCAGGCUGGAAUACAAAAGUGCAAUCAUAGCUCACUGCAGCCUUGACCUCCUGGGCUCAAGGAAUUCUCCCACCUCAGCUUCCUUGGUAGCUGGGACUACAGGCACACCACGCCCAGCUAAUUUUUUGUAUUUUUUGUAGAGGCAGGGUCUCACCAUGUUGUCCAGGCUGGUCUCAAGCCAUCUGCCCGCCUUGGCCUCCCAAAGUGUUGGGAUUACAGGCGUGAGCCACGUGCCUGGCCAUUGCUAUUUUUAAAAUGUUGUUUCAAUUACCCCCAGGGUGUCACUCCCCUUCAGGAUGCUUUGGGCCUUCCAGAGUAGGAAGAGUAACAAGAGACCUGGUUCACCUGUGGUGAAGCCAGGAGAGGUGUCAUGUUGGUUGAAAUGCCUGCAGAACCCUCCUGUUGCUGUGCUCAGGCCAGAAGCUGCACAGAGCAUGGGCCGAUAAAUGCAUCCACUCCCCGUGCUUUCCCAGGAGCGCCCAGGCCUGUCCUCAGUAUCAAGUCAAUCACAUUUUCAGCAUGGUAGGAGGAGGCAGGUUCUGCAAAUGCUGCAGGGUGGGUUAAUCACACAGGCCAAUCAAGUCCCUGUCGUCACCACGAUUGGCAGAGGCCAGCCCUCACUCCCAUCUUGUUUCCUUCUCAGUAAAAAUCAUGUCACGCAGCCAGGCUUGGUGGUUCACGCCUGUAAUCCCAGCACUUUGGGAGGCCAAGGUGGGCGGAUCACCUGAGGUUGGGAGUUCGAGACCAGCCUGACCAACAUGGAGAAACCCUGUCUCUACUAAAAAUAGAAAAAUUAGCCAGGUGUGGAGGCGCACGCCUGUAAUCCCAGCUACUCAGGAGGCUGAGGCAGGAGAAUCGCUUGAACCCGGGAGGCAGAGGUUGCUGUGAGCCGAGAUUGAGCCAUUGCACUCUAGCCUGGGCGACAGAGCUAGACUCCAACUCAAAUAAAUAAAUAAAUAAAUAAAUAAAUAAAUAAAUAAAUAUCACACCACAUCACUCUUUCCAACUGAAAGAGUGUAAUUUAAAAAAGUGUAAAAACUGCCAAAUGUAAGUCCACAUUAUUAUCCAUUCUUGUAGGAAACGUAAUAAAUGUGCUCCACAAAUCCCCCACCCUCCUAGAUACUGGCAUUGAAUGAGGCGCCCACGUGGGCUCUGCCCUGAACUUUUCUUCCUUCUUGCCCUUCUUCUUUCCUUCAUGCCUCUGAGAAGGAAACUCUCCUUCUGCAUCUGGAGCUGAGCUCCCCAAGGGCUUCUAAGCCUACUUCCCACACCUUCCGAAGAGCCUUAUCCCACAGAGCCCUCACUCCCUCACCGCUGGCUUCCUCCCUCUGUGGGCUCCUUUCCCAGUCUGUAAACAUGCCACAUGCUCAUCCCCUCACUCACCCUCUCGGAGAAAACUACUGUCCUGUCAAACUGCUUUCUUCUUUCCUUUCCUUCACCACACAAUGCAGCCAAGGGUGCAGAGAGUUGCUCAGGCCCCUGUGCAGCCCAUAUCUCCCACCCACUCGCAUGGCCCAACCUCCAGUGAUCAAAUCCAACAGCCGUUUCUGUCCCCAACCUGCCGCCCUUGCCUCCAGUUGAAUUUGACAGAGAUUACUCUGUCUACAUCUUAAAAAAACGGAAACCAAUGAAAGAGGCAACACACAAGACUCAAUAUGGACAGUAAUACGAUGGAGCAUAAGACGGCCAUGAAACACGACAUUCACAAAGUUUUAAAGAGCAUUAGGAUUUGCUUGUAAAAUAAAGUUAGAGGGCCAAGUGUGGUGGCUCACACCUGUAAACCUAGCACUUUGGGAGGCUGAGGCGGGCGCAUCACUCGAGGUCAGGAGUUUGAGACCAGCCUGGCCAACAUGGUGAAACCCUGUCUCUACUAAAAAUACAAAAAUUAGCCAGGCAUGGUGGAGGGCGCCUGUAAUCCCAGCUACUCAGGAGGCUGAGGUAUGAGAAUUGCUUGAACCCAGGAGGUGCAGGCUGCAGUGAGCCGAGAUUACGCCACUAUACCCCGGCCUGGGUGACACAGCAAGACUGUCUCCAAAAUAAAUAAAUAAACAAAGUUAAGGGAAAAACUGCACGUGCAGCAUCAGCUCAACCGUAUGCAUUUUAUUUAUUUUUUAUGUAGGUAUUUUUUUUGAGAUGGAAUCUCACUCUGUUGCCCAGGCUGGAGUGCAGUGGCGCGAUCUCAGCUCACUGCAAGCUCCACCUCCUGGAUUCACGCCAUACUCCUGCCUCAGCCUCUCGAGUAGCUAGGACUACAGGCGCCCGCCACCACACCCGGCUAAUUUUUUGUAUUUUUAGUAGAGACGGGAUUUCACCGUGUUAGCCAAGAUGGUCUUAAUUUCCUGACCUCGUGAUCUGCCCCCCUUGGCCUCCCAAAGUGCUGGCAUUACAGGCGUGAGCCACCGCGCCCGGCCCUGCAUUUUAUUUUUUAUUUCUUGAGAGGGAGUCUCACUCUGUCACCCAGGCUGGAGUGCAGUGGUGUGAUCUCGGCUCACUGCAGCCUCUGCCUCCUGGGUUCAAGCGAUUCUAUGCCUCAGCCUUCCAAGCAGCUGGGACUACAGGUGUGCCCCACCACACCUGGCUAAUCUUUUUUUUUUUUUUUUUCUGAGACAGAGUCUUGCUCUGUCGCCCAGGCUGGAGUGCAGUGACAUGAUCUCAGCUCACUGCAACCUCCGCCUCCCGGGUUUAAGCAAUUCUCCUGCCUCAGCCUCCCAAGCAGCUGGAACUACAGUCGCAUGCCACCAUGCCCAGCUAACUUUUUUGUAUUUUUAGUACAGACAGGGUUUCACUGUGUUAGCCAGGAUGGUCUCGAUCUCCAGACAUCAUGAUCCGCCCGCCUCGGCCUCCCAAAGUGCUGGGAUAACAGGCAUGAGCCACCGUCCCCAGCACGCCUGGACAAUUUUUGUAUGUUUAGCAGAGAUGGGGUUUCACCAUAUUAGCCAGGCUAGUCUUGAACUCCUGACCUCAAGUGAUCUGCCCGCCUCGGCCUCCCAAAGUGCUGGGAUUAUAGGUAGGGGCCACCGUGCUCAGCCCUAUAUGCAUUUUUAAAGACUAAGGGAAAAUAAGAGUGGUUCCAUCUGGGUGGUGGAACUAUAGAUUAUUUUUGUUUUCUCCUUUACUAUCUUCUGUAUUUUACAAUAGGCCUUACAAACAAAAGUCUGGGAGAUUAAAAGGGACAUUUUUCUGGUCUGCCACCUGCUGGUGGAUUCUAGCAACGUCCUGGGUUAAAUUAAAUUCAGUGCUUGCUCCUCCCUCUUCUCACUGUCUGAGCACCCUCCCUAUAGUUCCCUCCAGCUUCUUUAGCCUGACUUUUGCCAUCUCGUUUCCAUUUUGUGAUCCUUUCCCUCUUGUCUUGUGUAUUUUCUCGUGUAAGUUUUUUUGGUAAUAUAUGUUAGGUCCUCGCUAUUUUCAGGUCAUUACAAUUUUUACCUCUUUGCAUCUCUUUUCAGCGACUUCUGCUUUUUUUUUUUGAGACGGCGUCUCGCUCUGUUGCCAGGCUGGAGUGCAGUGGUGAUCUUGGUUCACUGCAACCUCCAACUCCCGGGUUCCAGUGAUUCUCCUGCCUCAGCCUCCCAAGUAGCUGGGAUUACAGGCGGGUGCCACCACGCCUGGCUAAUUUUUGUAUUUUUAGUAAAGACGGGAUUUCACCAUGUUGGCCAGGAUGGUCUCGAUCUCCUGACCUUGUGAUCUGCCUGCCUCAGCCUCCCAUAAUACUGGGACUACAGGUGUAAGCCAUCGUGCCUGGGCGAGACUUCUGCUUUGAUUGAGCUUAGUAACACACACUCACCAUGGGAGCGGGUGUGCUUUUAGGACAAGCUGACAGCCCUGGUGGAAGUGGGUGUUAGUUAAGGCAAUCAGAAAUCCUGGCAAGUGUAGUACGUGCUCUGGGAGGCAGGUUAAGCCACAAUUGGCAAUCAAUGCCCUUGGUCACAUUAGUGAGAACGCCCUGGCAGCCAUGUGGAGGGUGGAUUUGAGGACUUGGAGAGGUGUAUUUAAGACAUGGCUGCCACUCUCUAGGAGGAGAGUGAGAGAGCUUGGGCAGGAGUCGCAGUAGGGAUGGUGUGGAACAGGCAGAUUAGAGAGCCGCCCAGCAGCUGUCCUCUGCAGGGACUCCUUAAGAGGGAGGAGUCAUGACUGACCCCCAGCUUUCCAACACAGGUUGGGUGAGCUGUGAUGCCACCAACCAAGGCAGGAAUGCAGGCCUGUAUGUCAGUGGGUUGUGGGGAAGGCUGGGUUUUGAAUAAACUGAAUGUGAGAUGGCCUCAGAACAUCCAUGCAGAAACGUAAGCAGGCAGUGGAAAGUAAGGGCUAGAGAGAGAUCUGAGUGUUACUGACAUUAGGGUGUAGCUGAAACCCGAGGCAUGGACGACAACGCUUCAGGAGAAAAUCCAGAAUGACGGAGAUGCUGGAGACAGAAGCUGGUACGCAUGAGCACGGAGGGCCAGCCUGACAGAGGAGUGCAGAGGCAGAGAAGGAAAAGGCAGAAAGAAAAACCCAGGAGUGCAUUAUUGCAUGUGGCAACAGUCCAGAAGGGGUAGUGAUCAGUAAGUGAACUGAAAGGGUCAGUAAUCUAAGGGCUAAAAGUACAUCACUUGAAAUGGCAAGCAGGACGUCACUGGUAUCUGAAAGGAAGAGUCUGCACAGAGCAGCAACAACGACGCCAGACUGCGGGGGGUGGGAGGUGCCUAUGAGCUGAGGGUAUCAAGUAGAGACUCUUCAUGAAAGUGUGUAUGGGAAAAGAUGCUCCAGAGGGAAUAAUAAUGAGAAGGGGCUGCAGGGUGCAAGAGUCAGAGGACAAAAUGAGACAAUCUAGGUAAGGGCUUAGCACACUAUCUCGCAUUUACUAAGUGCUCAAUGCACAUAAAGGGCUUUUAUCGCCCAUUCAUUAACUAUAUAAUAAUUUUAAAUUUAAAUGACAAAAAUCAGUCCAAGGAGCCUGCAUACCAGUCGGGGAGAAAAACAAUCAACAAAAUAAAUAAAUUAUAUGGUACAUUUGCUAAUAGCAAAUGCUAAGAAGAAAAAAUAAACUGGGGAAAGAAGAUAUCAAAUGUUGAAGAAAAGGACACAAUUUUAGAUAGGGUGGCCUGGGCAGGCCUCGCUGAGAAGGUGGCUUGUAGGUAAAGACCCAAAGGAGGUGAGUAAAGUAACUAUAAUUAGGGAGUAAUAGAAAAAUAUUAGUUAUCAUUGCCAGAGCAUUCUUCAUAUAUUAUUGUUAUGGAAACAUCUGGUUAUUAUUCUAUUAUUGCUACUCUCUUUGCUGCAAUUAAUGUUCUUUUUUUUUUUUUUUUUGAGACAGAGUCUCAUUCUGUCACCCAGGCUGGAGUGCAGUAGUGCAAUCUCGGCUCACUGCAACCUCUGCCUCCCAGAUUCAAGCGAUUCUCCUGCCUUAGCCUCUCAAGUAACUGGGAUUACAGGCGCCUGCCACCAUGCCAGGCUAAUUUUUUUGUUUUGUUUUGUUUUGAGAUGGAGUCUUGCUCUGUCACCCAGGCUGGAGUACAGUGGCACGAUCUCGGCUCACUGCAACCUCCGCCUCCGGAGUUAAAGCGAUUCUCCUGCCUCAGCCUCCCAAGUAGCUGGGAUUACAGGCGCAUGCCACCACGCCGGGCUAAUUGUUGUAUUUUUAGAAGAAACUGGGUUUCACCAUGUUGGCCAGGCAGGUCUUGAACUCCUGACCUCAGGUGAUCCACCCACCUCAGCCUCCCAAAGUGUUGGGAUUACAGGCAUGAGCCACCGCGCCCAGCCCACGAUUAAUGUUCUUAUAAUCACUGCCAUCUCUGGGUGUUUAGUAGUUUCAGCAGUGGCAUCCAGUAACCACGGUUUCUAUUACAAAGGUGCGUGGAAUCUAGGAAAACCGGGGACAACAGUGUAACAUGCUGUGUCAUCAUCAUCAGCUGGUUUGUAAGGGCAGAAGCAAAGCCAAGUGGAAGCUGAUCGUGCACGCAGCUGCUGCAAACACAAAGCUGCUCAUGUGUGUGCUGAGGGGAAAGAGGGCAGUCCCAGACUGAUCUUUCAGUCCCACCUGUACACGUGAAAUAGCCGCACAACAGGACCAUCUUCAGACCUAGAGGGCAUUGACGCAGGCAUCUCUGGAGGAACAGAAAAGUGGUAACUACAUCUCAAAUCAGUGCAGAUGGAGAGUGUGUAAUUUAGAGGUCACAAGACAGGAGUGUUUCUACCAGAACACUGAUUUGGUGGUUAGAAACAGGAAUCCGCUGAUGCCAUCUGGGAAUAAUUAAGACGAACGGGAAAUUCUUGCUCUGUGCCAAACCGAGCCCAACGCUGAGAGUAAGGUGGGUGUGUAAUAAGCACUUACUGGAUCACACUGAAUAAGAGGAUUCAAUGUUGCUUGUGACUGAUGCAUACAAUGAUUAAAAAGCCUGAUCUAGACUAAUAAUUAUUCUUUGCAAUUCAGAGAGAAGGAUCAAAAAAGGAAAAGAAAGAAAAGGAAAAAAAAGUAGAAAAAGAAUCUAAAUGCCUGAGGACUCAUCCUAUCUUUACUCCGUUUAAGAGGCUAUAAUAUUUUUUAAAGCUAAAUGUCAAGUGUUUCAUUCCUUAAGUCACAGGCUUCCGUGGGUGGAUGGGACAGGCCAGAAAAAUGGGUUUUAAAGACAAAACCCCAUUCUUAAACUCAGGUUAACAGAAGUUUUGUAAAUAUCUUAGUUACAUUUUCUUUUUUUCUUUUUUUUUUUGAGACGGAGUCAUGCUCUGUCGCCCAGGCUGGAGUGCAGUGGCGCUAUCUCAGCUCACUGCAACCUCUGCCUCCUGGGUUCAGGCAAUUCUCGGGCCUCAGCCUCACUGGUAGCUGGGACUACAGGCAUGCACCAGCACAGCUGGCUAAUUUUUGUAUUUUUAGUAGAGAUGAGGUUUUAUCAUGUUGGCCAGGCUGGUCUUGAACUCCCGGCCUCAAGUGAUCUGUCUGCCUCAGCCUCCCAAAGUGCUGGGAUUACAGGCACGGGCCACCAUGCCCGGUCCUUAGUUACAUUUUUUACAUGUAUUUAUUACUUGAAGGGGGUCAAUACUGAAUUUAUCUAUUAAAACAAACAAAAACCCUCAAGAUUAAAACUUGAUAGCUUAACUAGCAGUGCUUAGAAUAUAUAAAAGUUUUUAUUAAUUUCUUGUAAAUGCCUGUGUAAACAGAUUAUAAGUAUGUCCUUCUUGGCUACGAAACCAAAAGUGAACCAUUGUAAUGGCCAAGUAAAAGCUUAUGAAGGAAGAAAUUAAAUGGGCCAACUGCAUUUUAUAGCUCAAGCUAAUAGCAACGUAUGUGAUAUUUUUGUUAUUAUUAUCACAGCCUUACCAUGCAGCAGUUACUAUAAGAUAUUUCAUAUGUUUGUGAAAGUGUGUAUGCUAUAUUAUAUUCAUGCAUGGUACAUGCUUCUCUAAGGAUCCCACAGCCUGAUCGCGCAAACGUUAUCUAUUCUACUUUAAGAGUACAAAGAGUGAAAUAUGGACUACGGGAAGAUUAUGACUGUGCUUGGGACUCCAUAAUGUGCCUGUCAUGGAGCUGGGAACUCAGCCCCCUGAUCACUGGGAACUCCUCAGCAGGAGUGGAACAUGCAGGAUGAGGGAAGGGAGGAAGUGGAGGAGAUGGAAAACUGGCUUCCAACUGGUUUCGCUGAAUCUGUGACUGACUUAAGAAGCAGGAUAUGAAUUACCAUGCACUUUAUUGCCUCCUCUUGGAAACAUCCU
rnacentral:lncRNA from 10 species